GACGAACGCUGGCGGCGUGCUUAACACAUGCAAGUCGAACGGAAAGGCCCUGCUUUUGUGGGGUGCUCGAGUAGCGAACGGGUGAGUAACACGUGAGUAACCUGCCCUUGACUUUGGGAUAACUUCAGGAAACUGGGGCUAAUACCGGAUAGGAGCUCCUGCUGCUUGGUGGGGGUUGGAAAGUUUCGGCGGUUGGGGAUGGACUCGCGGCUUAUCAGCUUGUUGGUGGGGUAGUGGCUUACCAAGGCUUUGACGGGUAGCCGGCCUGAGAGGGUGACCGGCCACAUUGGGACUGAGAUACGGCCCAGACUCCUACGGGAGGCAGCAGUGGGGAAUAUUGCACAAUGGGCGGAAGCCUGAUGCAGCAACGCCGCGUGCGGGAUGACGGCCUUCGGGUUGUAAACCGCUUUCGCCUGUGACGAAGCGUGAGUGACGGUAAUGGGUAAAGAAGCACCGGCUAACUACGUG
rnacentral:rRNA from 1 species